AAUCAACGCUGGCGGCGUGCCUCAGACAUGCAAGUCGAACGCGAAAUUUCCCUUCGGGGAGAAAGUAGAGUGGCGCACGGGUGAGUAACACGUAGGUAAUUUGCCUUUGGGUGGGGAAUAACUCAGGGAAACUUGAGCUAAUACCGCAUAAUGCAGCGGCUCGACAUCGAGACAGUUGUUAAAGCGGGGAUUGGAGCAAUCCGACCUCGCGCCUAAAGAGAAGCCUGCGGCAGAUUAGCUAGUUGGUAAGGUAAUGGCUUACCAAGGCGACGAUCUGUAACCGGCCUGAGAGGGCGGUCGGUCACACUGACACUGACAUAC
rnacentral:rRNA from 1 species